GACAAUGAUGUAUUGAUCCUAUUCCAUUGCUGAACACUCAACAAUGUGGAAAAGUCCUAUCUGAUGUC
rnacentral:snoRNA from 1 species